rnacentral:rRNA from 1 species
AUGAACGCUAGCGGCAGGCCUAAUACAUGCAAGUUGAACGAUACCCCCGACCUUCGGUUUGGGGGGAAAGUGGCGCACGGGUGCGUAACGCGUAUGCAACCUACCUUAAUCAGGGGGAUAGCCUCUCGAAAGAGAGAUUAACACCGCAUAAAAUCACAACCUGGCAUCAGGGAAUGAUCAAAUAUUUAUAGGAUUAAGAUGGGCAUGCGUGACAUUAGUUAGUUGGUGAGGUAACGGCUCACCAAGACUACGAUGUCUAGGGGAUCUGAGAGGAUGACCCCCCACACUGGUACUGAGACACGGACCAGACUCCUACGGGAGGCAGCAGUAAGGAAUAUUGGUCAAUGGGGGCAACCCUGAACCAGCCAUGCCGCGUGCAGGAAGACGGCCCUACGGGUUGUAAACUGCUUUUAUACCGGAAUAAACCCCCGAUCGUGAUCGGGGUUGAAUGUACGGUAAGAAUAAGGAUCGGCUAACUCCGU